rnacentral:lncRNA from 1 species
UUCUUUCAUUCUUUUCUCACUUCAUUGUCAUACAGGCAAGUGAAAAAGAGUGGAAAGAGAAGAGGCGGUGUCAAAGGAAAAGAGAAAAAAUACACCUGACUCCUGUUGUUUAUGAUUGUCUUGUCAGUUAACACCUGGGCAAUCAUCAACCAUGUACUUUCCUUGAGCCAGGUCCUUAAAGAACCCAAGAUGAAGGAAGUAGACAGAAGCAGCUUUGGGGUGGUUAGGGUAGUGCUUCUAGAACUUUAACGUGGCUACAGAUUUCUUGGGAGUCUUGUUAAAAUGUGGAUUCUGAUUCUAGAGUGGGGCCUCAAAUUCUGCUUCAGUUGGUGAUCUUGUUAAAAUGCCGUUUCCGAUUAUGGGGUGGAGCCUCAGAUUCUGCACUUCUACUCUUAGGGAAACCCAAGCCUCAGGGGGCCUGCAGUAAAGAGAAAUAAAGCAUGACAUAGUCUGAAAAGCACUGGUUCUAGAAUCAAACAAACUUGGGUUGGAAUUCCAACUCUGCAACUGAUUUGCAAUCUGUGUGGUCACAGGCAGAGUCUUGCUGAAGUGCCAUAGGAGUGAUCACGGUUCACUGCAGCCUCAGCCUCCUUGGAUCAAGUGAUUCUCCUGUCGCAGCCUCUCAAGUAUCUGAGACCACAGGGUACAACAGUCCCAGCCCCGCCCAUCACACCCACAACCCUUAUGUACGCCCAAGGGUGCCUGGCAUGCAAGAUUCUAAGAGCAAUGGGUUGCAAGUCCCUUUGACAAAGUUUGCCUGGGGACCAGGAAAUUUAAGUCUACAUCCGAGGACCAAAGAUAUUUAAAUUAAAAACUUCCUACCAAAUCCAACAGCAGCUAAGAGAGUGGCGAAUGCGAUAUUACAGAAAUUGGUCUGCAGCCUCCAAAUGCCAAAGUGGCAGCUUGUUAUUUAUGAUAAGAUAAGGAGCAGCUCGUUACUAAAGAUAUCCAUGUCAACCCCACGCAUUGAGCAGAACAAAGGAUCGUUAAUGAUUCCUGGGCUUGUCAUGUUAGAAUGGGGUGGCGAUGAUAAAAGAGCAUCUAUAUAUGCUUUCCUUGUGACAUUUCUUAUUUUUAAACUCCAAUAUAAAAAUAUGUGUUAAUUGUUAUGAUUUGUGUCACAUGCUAUGCUCCAGGGCUGGACAGGAAACAGUGUCCCCAUUCUAGUAUUUUUAUAAUAAGCAAUAAACAAACAAUAAACAAUGACAACAAGAAGAGAACCACUUUCCAGGAUCAUAUGAUUAGUUCUGACAUUUGGGAAAUUGCUUCAUUGCCAGAAGUCAAUUCCCGCGAUUGCGAGCAUCUUCCACACAUAAAAUUAAUAAUGUGCCCAGCUCCCCUCCUGCCUUCAUUUUAUUAUAUGAAAUUUGGACC